AAUCAACGCUGGCGGCGUGCCUAACACAUGCAAGUCGAACGCGAAAGCCCCGCAAGGGUAAGUAGAGUGGCAAACGGGUGAGUAACGCGUGGGUGACCUGCCUCCGAGCGGGGGAUAACGUCCCGAAGGGACGCUAAUACCGCAUAACAUCCUGCUUUUUAACAAGCGGAGAUCAAAGCUGGGGAGUCGCAAGACCUAGCACUCGAAGAGGGGCCCGCGUCUGAUUAGCUAGUUGGGGGGUAACGGCUCACCAAGGCGACGAUCAGUAUCCGGCCUGAGAGGGCGGACGGACACACUGGGACUGAGACACGGCCCAGACUCCUACGGGAGGCAGCAGUGGGGAAUUGUUCGCAAUGGGCGCAAGCCUGACGACGCAACGCCGCGUGGAGGAUGAAGAUCUUCGGGUCGUAAACUCCUUUCGAUCGAGACGAAUGGCCUCCGGGUGAACAAUCCGGAGGNGUGACGGUACCGAGAGAAGAAGCCCCGGCUAACUCCGUGCCAGCAGCCGCGGU
rnacentral:rRNA from 1 species